rnacentral:misc_RNA from 1 species
CUGUUUUUUACAUGGAUUUUUUGGCUUACUCUUUGUAAAAAAGGGACUGGCCAGACGAUUUUUCCAAAUAAUCCCAGAUUUUGACAACAUCACAAGUUAAAACCAAAAUCGUAGAGUUGCUAAGACUUGUUUGAUUUGAUCUGUAAUUGGAGGAAAGGUUUUGUGAUGAUGGUGUUUGACAUAUAAUGGCUGGGAUUUGUUGCGGUGUGUUGGGGAGAUUGAACCGGCGGCACUAAUGGAUUCAAUUACUCGAGCUUUCAAUGAAAAAAUCUGGGAUUUGAAAAGG